rnacentral:rRNA from 1 species
AUUGAACGCUGGCGGCAUGCCUAACACAUGCAAGUCGAACGAGUGGCGGACGGGUGAGUAAUGUAUGGGACACUGCCUGAUGGAGGGGGAUAACUACUUGUAACUGUAGCUAAUACCGCAUACCAUCAGAUGUGCCCAGAUGGGAUUGGCUUGUUGGUGGGGUAACGGCUCACCAAGGCGACGAUCCCUAGCUGGUCUGAGAGGAUGACCAGCCACACUGGAACGGAGACACGGGCCAGACUCCUACGGGAGGCAGCAGUGGGGAAUAUUGCACAAUGGGGGAAACCCUGAUGCAGCCAUGCCGCGUGUAUGAAGAAGGCCUUCGGGUUGUAAAGUACUUUCGGCGGGGAGGCGGUACCCGCAGAAUAAGCACCGGCUAACUCCGUGCCAGCAGCCGCGGUAAUAC